GGGAGAGGCAAGCGUUAUCCGGAAUUAUUGGGCGUAAAGCGUCCGCAGGCGGUUAAUCAAGUCUGUUGUCAAAGCGUGGGGCUCAACCUCAUACAGGCAAUGGAAACUGAUUGACUAGAGUAUGGUAGGGGUAGCGGGAAUUCCAGGUGUAGCGGUGAAAUGCGUAGAUAUCUGGAAGAACACCAGCGGCGAAAGCGCGCUACUGGGCCAUAACUGACGCUCAUGGACGAAAGCUAGGGGAGCGAAAGGGAUUAGAUACCCCUGUAGUCCUAGCCGUAAACGAUGAACACUAGGUGUUGCGUGAAUCGACCCGCGCAGUGCCGUAGCCAACGCGUUAAGUGUUCCGCCU
rnacentral:rRNA from 1 species